UGCCCAGACUCCUACGGGAGGCAGCAGUGGGGAAUUUUGCGCAAUGGGGGAAACCCUGACGCAGCAACGCCGCGUGCGGGACGACGGCCCUCGGGUUGUAAACCGCUUUCAGUGGGGACGAUGGUGACGGUACCCACAGAAGAAGCUCCGGCUAACUACGUGCCAGCAGCCGCGGUAAUACGUAGGGAGCGAGCGUUAUCCGGAUUCAUUGGGCGUAAAGCGCGCGUAGGCGGCUGCCUAAGCGGAACCUCUAAUCCCGGGGCUCAACCUCGGGCCGGGUUCCGAACUGGGCGGCUCGAGUGCGGUAGAGGCAGGCGGAAUUCCCGGUGUAGCGGUGGAAUGCGCAGAUAUCGGGAAGAACACCGAUGGCGAAGGCAGCCUGCUGGGCCGUCACUGACGCUGAGGCGCGAAAGCUGGGGGAGCGAACAGGAUUAGAUACCCCGGUAUA
rnacentral:rRNA from 1 species